AUUGAACGCUGGCGGCAGGCCUAACACAUGCAAGUCGAGCGGAUGAAGGGAGCUUGCUCCUGGAUUCAGCGGCGGACGGGUGAGUAAUGCCUAGGAAUCUGCCUGGUAGUGGGGGAUAACGUCCGGAAACGGGCGCUAAUACCGCAUACGUCCUGAGGGAGAAAGUAGGGGAUCUUCGGACCUCACGCUAUCAGAUGAGCCUAGGUCGGAUUAGCUAGUUGGUGGGGUAAAGGCCUACCAAGGCGACGACCCGUAACUGGUCUGAGAGGAUGAUCAGUCACACUGGAACUGAGACACGGUCCAGACUCCUACGGGAGGCAGCAGUGGGGAAUAUUGGACAAUGGGCGAAAGCCUGAUCCAGCCAUGCCGCGUGUGUGAAGAAGGUCUUCGGAUUGUAAAGCACUUUAAGUUGGGAGGAAGGGCAGUAAGUUAAUACCUUGCUGUUUUGACGUUACCAACAGAAUAAGCACCGGCUAACUUCGUG
rnacentral:rRNA from 1 species